rnacentral:sRNA from 1 species
CCAGGUUCAAUUCCCAGCACCCACAUAGUAACUUAGUCUAUAAGUCCAGUUUCAGGAGAUCUGAUACCCUUUUCUAGUUUCUAUAGGCACCACGCAUGCUUGUGGCGCAUAAGCAUAUGUGCAGCCAAAACCCACACACACAGUAAUAAUAAUGAAUAAUACACUAUAAAAUAAUGAAAGGGAAAAGUUAAAAGUAUUUACAUGGGUCAGGAGGAAAAGGCAACAAGAUAAAUACAGCUUCAGCGUUGUAUAGCAAGGCACUGUCUCAAAAUUACAUUUUUGCUGUGUGGUAUUAUCUACCUUCAAUCCCAGCACUCAGGCAGGACAAAGAGGCAGGGGGAUUGAUGUGAGUUUAACAUCAUCCUGUCUACUCAGAGCAGAGGCUCCCACCCUUCCAAACGCUGCAACCCUUUAAUGCAGCUCUUCAUGUUUUGCUGACCCCCAAUCGUAAAAUGAUUCUCAUUGCCCCUUCAUAACUGUGAUUUUGCUAGUAUUGUGAAUUGUAAUGUAAAUAUUUGUGUUCUGGGUGUCCUUUGGGGGGUCGCAACCUACAGGUUGAGAACCACUGACCUAGAGAGUUCCAGAAUACCCAGAGAUAUAUAAUAAGACCCUGCCUCAGAAAAAAAAAAGGGGGGUGGGGAUAAAAAAGGAUUGGCUGUGGUAGUCCUGUCAUCCCAGCUAACACAGGAUUGUGAAUUCAAUGCCAACUAACCUAUGAAGAGCAAGCUGGGAAGGAGGGAUGUAGCUUAGUGGUGAGUACUAGCAUACUUCAGCUGCCCAGUACUGCAAAAAAUGAGAUACCGGUGUAGACCGGAUGAGAGGUCAGGGACCUGGGAGGGAAACCAAUCAUUUUAAGCCCAAGACUUGGUUGCUGAUGUCAACUGAUGGCAUCUAGGUUGAAACUCAUGCCUCAUCGUAUCUUACUAUUGAAUAUAGAUCGCACACACAGUUCAAACUGACUUCGGGGGCUCUCUGCUCACUAGCCACUCCAUUUUUGGGGAGUGAUUGUUCCUUACUUAAUAAACAACCUGCCCCGCCCCCGCCCCACCCCAUGCCUAAGGAAGCCGCAUGACUUUUCUCUCUGGCACUGCCGGGAUUUUAACCUAAGCUGUGCUGUUUUUUCUUAAACUCUUAAUAAAAUUGUUCUUGGGGUUUAUAAAAGGAAACAGUAAUAUGGAAAUGUCAAUAAAAAUGAACUAGCAAAGAUCAUCUUACAGGUUCUCUGCACCUUGAGCGCUUCCCUAUUAUUUACCUACAUGGUGCUGGUAAACAGCUUCACAGUUUACAAAGCACUUCUUGGAUGUCAUUGCCUUGAGACACCGGCACGGUAAAGGAAGGCACAGUGGUAAGUAAAAUUUGAGAGUGAUAAAGAGAACCAGCUCUGCAGCUUGUAAUAAAAGUUACGAAAUUCUGAGCUGGGUAUGUCGACUCAGGCCUGCAGUCCAGCACUUGGAGGUGGAGGCAGGAGGAUCAUGAGUUCAGAGCCAGCCUAUCUCAAAAAAAAAAAAAAAAAAAAAAAAAAAAAGUGAUCACAAAAUGAUGAUCACUCCCCAGCCCCAUUAAAUCCCAAGAGAAAGGAUCAAAGGGGCUGAGCCACAGGAGAACCACCAAGAGGUUGGAGAUCUGGAUGAGAGUCACUAACGACAAAAGGUGAAGCCAAACUGUAGGUAGGGGGGCCUAGUAGGCCUAGCUGCCUUUGUUUCCUUUGAGAUGGAGGAAGGAAGGCCCACCCUCUGUUAGCUUAGGUCGCAACGGUAUUUUCCUCAGGUCUGUAGAACUCAGUCAUUCUCAACUAAGUCACCAGUCAGCUUUGUAAAAAUAUACCCAGGUACCACCCCUAGCAGCUCAAAUUCAAAUCUUCAGGAGGGGUCAAGCAGUUUUAAGUCUCUCAGGAUGGCGGUGGAGUCUAAGGCAGAGAAGACUGAGUCUUGAAGGCAGAAGAUGUGUUAUUAGUGUAUUCUUCCUACAAUAGUAAUUGUUCAAUGCUCCGAGUGAUGAAAACUCACCACCCUCAACUAUGUCCUUGUUGUUGGGGAAUGGCCUCAGGUCAGAGGAACUGAGUCAGAGUGUACGGAGCAAUAGCCCUUAGCCAGAAAGCUGUAAAGCAUGGCUUGACCCCUGUGCUCUCCACCUGUACAAAUUAGAUGUCCAGGUGUUGAAAACCCACCCUGCUCCCAGUCAAACCACAAAAAAUGGCUGUAACCUCCUGGUGGCUAGUCAUGGAUGUGUGCGUGUACACACCUGUCCCUCAGCCCCUCUACCUGAGCUCGCUCAUCGCUGUUUCAAUAAAGCUGGCUCAGCCUGAUGAGAUGGCGUGUUUCUCUGCUUCAUUUUUCCUAGGCUUGUUGUACGCCAGUCCUGGUGCUCAGAGCGUCAUAGUUAGAUCCACCUCUUCACUGUGCUCGGACAGUUAGUAUUUUAAAUUCCUCAUUCUGUAAGAUCCAUGCCUGCACCCAAUGAAGUGAGAAGACGGCAUCAGAGCUCCUAGAACUAGGGCCACCAACAUUUGUGAGCUUCCGGAAGUGUGACCAGACCGGGCGGUGGGAUGGAAGACCCAUUACAGAGCUUCACAUGCUGUUCCAGGCCUGUUCUAACAGGAUACCAUUGCUUUAAUGAGAGAGAGAGAGAGAACAUGAAAUCUGUGUGGUGAGGAUCUGGGAGAAAAUAGAAGAAGGUAAAAACUAUGAUCACAAUAAAUUGUUUGAAAAAAAUUUUAAUUAAAAAUUUUAAUUA